rnacentral:lncRNA from 1 species
ACCUCUUUGCUUCUCAGCAACUUGUCUGCCCCACCCCAAACCCACACCUCCCAGCCAUGGCCUGGAGCCCUGGCCACACAGACCUGAGACCAUGCAUCUUUUUGACAUAUCCUUCACGGUUCCCAGGGCGUCAUUACUCAGGCAGCAACUGUCUCAGAACCUCAGCGUGUGAUCCCGGCCCCUGCAGCAGCCCCUCUCCCACCCAUGAGGGGCUUCCAGAUGCUCUGUUCAGAUAUUUGGGUUCUGGGUCUGGAUCCUGGUAGCCACCACCCAGGUAGCAAACCCAUUGCUGCAAGGAUGGGUGAUGUAUGUCUCACUCACCUUGUUUCUCAUCUCCCUGGUGUUCCUGUUGUCUUCCUUGUUUGGAUUUGAAUCCUGGAGAGUUCUGUUCUUCGCCUUCGUCACCAUGCUGCUCUACAUUCUCCAUGCCUUCAGCAUCUAUUACCACUGAUGCACAGGCACCAGGCCAAGGGGGAAAUACUCUUUGAAAGCCCUGAUUAUUUCUCCCCGAAAGCAGCUUCCAAUGCUUGCCAUCUGGAUGAUAAACAGAAGAUCCACUAAAACAUCCACAGGAUUAACAGAGCUUCCUUGCAGACUAAGCGAUGACACCACACUUUGGACAUUUAAAUUCACUCUACUGAAUAGGAGGAAGCCUUUAUUUUCCUUUUCCUGGGAAAGUAACUGUCUCUUGGAAUUAUCUGACCGUGAACUUCCUCUUCUAGCAAACUCACAUGAAAGCCCUCACUGUUGAGAAUCCCAGCUCCACUGUCAAGCCUGUUUGGGGAUUUUGCCUCAGCUGUGGGCUUCCCUAGAGUAGGUUCAGGGGAAUACUCAGCCUGAUUAUCUUAAAAUUGAAGAAGUGCCACCAAGGCCUUCAGAUCUAAUGCAGAUCCACAGA